rnacentral:rRNA from 1 species
GACGAACGCUGGCGGCGUGCUUAACACAUGCAAGUCGAACGGAAAGGCCCUGCUUUUGUGGGGUGCUCGAGUGGCGAACGGGUGAGUAACACGUGAGUAACCUGCCCUUGACUUUGGGAUAACUUCAGGAAACUGGGGCUAAUACCGGAUAGGAGCUCCUGCUGCAUGGUGGGGGUUGGAAAGUUUCGGCGGUUGGGGAUGGACUCGCGGCUUAUCAGCUUGUUGGUGGGGUAGUGGCUUACCCAGGCUUUGACGGGUAGGCGGCCUGAGAGGGUGACCGGCCACAUUGGGACUGAGAUACGGCCCAGACUCCUACGGGAGGCAGCAGUGGGAAAUACGGCACAAUGGGCGGAAGCCUGAUGCAGCAACGCCGCGUGCGGGAUGACGGCCUUCGGGUUGUAAACCGCUUUCGCCUGUGACGAAGCGUGAGUGACGGUAAUGGGUAAAGAAGCACCGGCUAACUACGUG